UUACAUCCUUGUUCACUGAUUGAAUAGGCUUGGUCUCCAAGGUGCCUCUUGGUCUGUUCUUUGAUUUUCUCAUUGUUGGAUCUUGUCUUGUGAAUGGAAAGAUGGCUAUUUUUCCAUCAAAUAUGACAUCUCCACUUUCUCCAAAGUAUGGUCUACACACUACACACAUAAACAUCACCUUUGUGAUGAACCUUUUUGACUUGCAUGACCUAUAUGGUUCUUCCUCAUCUGGCAGCAGGCUGAACAUGAGUGAGAGUCCAUUUCAUUCUUGAUACCUUGUUUGCGGCAGUAAGCAGCGGAUUAACAACAUUUGUGUGUGGCCUCAGAAGUCCACAUUUCACCAUCCUGUCUACUGUGCUCUUACUUAAAUCUAGCUUGAAAGCCAUCUUGCGAAUGGUUCACCACUUUGGAUUUGCUUGCUGGCCUCUGCCCAGAUUCGAUGGACUGUCUUCCUGCUCACUCCAAAGUCAUUUGCUGUUUUGACAAAACCUCCAUAUGGUAUUUUACCUAAAAGGCUCGCUUGUAGCAGGCUUUGUGCUAUCAGAUUCUUGGUGUCCACUCCUAUGAUUCGCUUGCCUUUAUCUCCGGCAAUGUCUCCGGCCGUGGCUCCGGCAGUUUCACCAGCAGCAGAAUCCAUAGCCCUAUGAUGAAAAUUUUCUGAGGGCAAUACUUCUAAAACUCUCCUUUUGUUGUGUAGGUAGUCCUUUUAUAGGUAGUGGUAGUUGGCAGUUCCCUACUAAGUUCCCUCCUAAAAAUUUGGUUAGAGUAUUGUGGGUUUUGGCAUUUCCCUCCCAAAAAUCUUUUGUGUGUAAUUUGAUUAAACUCUCAUUGAGAUGUUGUAUGUUGUGGAGUUGUAUGAAAGAAGAA